rnacentral:rRNA from 1 species
AAAAAGGCUGUAGUUGAACCUUGGGCCUGGCUGGCCGGUCUGCCUCACCGCAUGUACUGGUUCGGCCGGGCCUUUCCUCCUGGGGAUCCGCAUGCCCUUCACUGGGUGUGUUGGGGAACCAGGACUUUUACUUUGAAAAAAUUAGAGUGUUCAAAGCAGGCCUUUGCUCGAAUACAUUAGCAUGGAAUAAUAGAAUAGGACGUGCGGUUCUAUUUUGUUGGUUUCUAGGACCGCCGUAAUGAUUAAUAGGGAUAGUCGGGGGCAUCAGUAUUCAGUUGUCAGAGGUGAAAUUCUUGGAUUUACUGAAGACUAACUACUGCGAAAGCAUUUGCCAAGGAUGUUUUCAUUAAUCAGUGAACGAAAGUUAGGGGAUCGAAGACGAUCAGAUACCGUCGUAGUCUUAACCGUAAACUAUGCCGACUAGGGAUCGGGCGAUGUUAUUCUUUUGACU